GCUGUGAUCGUAUAGUGGUUAGUACUCUGCGUUGUGGCCGCGGCAACCCCGGUUCGAAUCCGGGUAACAGCA
rnacentral:tRNA from 1 species